AGUAACCACUAGAAGACGAUGCCUCAGAUGCACCAUAUCCAUAUGGAUCAUAAGGUGACUAUGGAUAAUAGGAUCUAUAAUGCGAGAAUGAUCCAGAUACAUCCAUGGAUCCUACUCUACGUGCAAGAUCGUCUGCAGCUGCAUCGUGUGCUAGACGAUCUCUAAGAGCCCGUCGUUUAUAUGAAAUCGGCUCUCCAUGGUCUCUACCCACUCGUCCAUCAUGGUCCCUAUCUUGUGUGGCAUGUGUAAACUAGGAUUCAUCGAUAAAUCGAAUAUCAUCCUACGGCUGUGUCUCAUAAGCAGUGAUCUCCUAUCCUCCAAUUUCUUUUUGAUCAUCAGAUCCAUGACUACUACUACCAGUAUCAUCAUCAUUCUCCCUGAUCUUCGAAUCUGAGCCAGUAGCUCCUGUACUCUUGAGAGUGGUGCACAUGUAACUGUCUUUUUUUUUCUCUUGUGCCUCUUUGUGACUGAGUUUCUUGUGAUUGGGAGGAUGGAUGUCUUCUUGCUGACUGCUGACCUCGUCUAAACAUCCGUCGCUCGAACCUCUGCGAGGAUGUAUCGGAUAUCGAGUCAUGUGAUGAAUAAGUCUCCCGUGUUCCCUCAGGUUGUGGCUGAUCGGCUGGAACUUAUGUGGAAUAUUUCUUUCUGCCUAUUGUUCUGGAUCCAUCCUGAUCUCCCUAGCUAUCAGACUGGCUGGUCGUGGAGGAGAUCCCGGCUUAUCAAGCUCUGGCUCUUGCUGUUGACUUGCAAGCCAUCCGAUGAUCGGAUCGUCGUCCUCGUCAGCAUAAUCAUCUAGUGUCAGAUUAGUGUACUUCAGUUGUACUUUUUUCUGAAUGUAUUUUAGUCUUAACCUCAGAUUAUAGUGAACAUAUACAAGAUCAUUGAGGU
rnacentral:lncRNA from 1 species